rnacentral:rRNA from 1 species
UACGUAGGGACCGAGCGUUGUCCGGAAUCAUUGGGCGUAAAGAGCGUGUAGGCGGCUUGCUAAGUCUUGCGUGAAAUCUCGGGGCUCAACCCCGAGCGGUCGUGGGAAACUGGCAGGCUAGAGUGCGGGAGAGGAGAAUGGAAUUCCUGGCGUAGCGGUGAAAUGCGCAGAUAUCAGGAAGAACACCCGUGGCGAAGGCGGUUCUCUGGAACGCAACUGACGCUGAGACGCGAAAGCGUGGGGAGCAAACAGG